AAUAUAUGACACCGUUGACUUUUUGUUUAACGUUUGACCAUUCGUCUUAUUCAAAAAAUUUAUGUAAUUAUCAUUUAUUUUAUGAUUCAUCAUCAAAUGUUCUUUAAGCAUGAUAUAAAUAUUUUCAUAUUUGCACAAAAAUUUUGAAUAAAACGAAUGGUCAAACGUUGGUCAAAAAUCAAUGGUGUCAUGCAUU
rnacentral:pre_miRNA from 1 species